AUGYGUACGGGUGACAUGCCGUAGUAAGAGUACGGCUCUGCCGGUGUCGAUUAGCCUUUAGUCAGAAGACAGCAACAGCUGUUUGUGAAACAGUCAAAUCAACAACCAUCAAGACAACCUAGAACUUCAAGGAUUUUGACAAACCGUGAAAURUGAGAUCCUUAAGGACAUAUGUUUCUACUGGAUGGUGUAAGGAUGUUCGUGAGCUUUGGAGGGAAAACCGGAGGUUGAAUCGUAGAUGGAAAAAGGAAGAAGCAAUCAUAUGGUUUUCUUUCUUUG
rnacentral:lncRNA from 1 species